CAUUUUCAUUAAAAUUACGUACAAAGGUUAACAUGGGGAAAACUUCGAAGGAGAGACUAUAUUUACCGAAAAUUGAAAGACGUAACUAAAUCUAACCUAACUUCUAAGAAACCUAUCAUGUGGUGACAAAACUUCCAAAAGUUGUUUUUUCUCACAUACAUUUGUUUAUAAAAAUGUUAUAAUGAUAGGGGUUUAAAUAAACUGUACACCAUCUUCCA